rnacentral:tRNA from 1 species
GAACCCGUGGCGCAGCGGUAGCGCGUGAGAUUCCAGUCACGGGAAAUCCUCAAGGUCAUCCGUUCAAUCCGGGUCGGGUUCA